UGUAAUAAUAUAAAAGAGCUUUCACGCAAAAUACGACAAGUUGAAAAUUAUUUAGCAACUGCGAUUAUUCUCUGCAAGAAACAUAAAAAGGUGUCAUACCAGCGCAUUUUCUAUAUUUUUAAUGAUCACUGUUUUAUUAAUAUCAACUGUUAUCACGAUGGUAGCUACUGAAUCAGAAGGCUACGUUAUAAAGCUUCCGAUAUGUACGACGCCUCGUGCUAAGUCUCAGCGUGGUUAGAAAAAACUUGCACUUGGAAAAUAUCGCAUACCCCGUAUGGGGUGAAGGACAAGAGUUACACAAAAAUGGAUAAUAAUGCGGUUACAGUUUAGAUUUGGAAAAUAAAGAAACGAUUACGAGAGCAUAUUGUAAUAAGGAAAUAUAAAUAAACGCCGUGACAGUGUCUUAUCAGCCAGAAAACUUUUAUUACAGAUGUGUUACUUUUCCACCUAUAAUCUUUUCUGAUUAUCAAAACUCCAAUAUCACGACUGUUAUUUUCUCAAAUAAUAAAAUUAUGCAAUAACUUGAUAAAAUACAUAAAACACAUACGUAUAACACACAUACGUAUAUGCGGUUUAUUAUUGGAAGACAUUUCAAUGUUACGUUGAUUUCUGUGAGUUUUUCAUUGACAUCAACUUUUAUCACGAUGGUCAUCAAUCAUUGAACCAAAACCCAAACCAGUCAAAUUGAUGAAGUGAGAAAAAGGUAUAAAGUUUUCAAUAUUUAUACGCG